AUGUCAUUCAUUAAUACAUAAUAAAACAUCUUACAUUAAACUCACUGAACAGAAAGCUUUCCAGAGUGGUGGUAAGGCUAAAAUUUACAAUUAUCUGCCAGCAAGCAGGUCUCUUCAUAAUUAUAUACCUUCCUGCCUAUGGCAACUGACGUUUACCUUUUACUUGGUGGUUCAAGGUCAUCGUCAGGGCAUCCCGCGUGUUCACUUGUGAUACAGUGGUGCUGGGAGAUGCGUUUGAGAUGUAUAGACUCUUUAUUUUUAUGUUGUUUUCUUUAACUGAGUUGUCAUUUUACAAAACGUGUGUAUCUCUUGUGCUACCUCUUACCUCUUUGCUACUGAUAGCGUGCCCUUGUUUUAAUCAACUGUGGGCCAGAGAAUUAACCGAACAAGUUACUUAUUAUGCCAGAAGUGCCUCUAGUUUCCUCUGCCUGAAGUGCAAUUUUCCCAGGCCUGGGUCUUAUCUAACUUGCUCAUUUCCAUGAAGUCUUCCUCUCUUGAGGGUGUGAAGAUAGCCCUGAGCACAGGUAUAUUUUUUCACUUGGGCAUAUCCUUAUCAAGUAGACUCAGACCUGUGGGAAAAUGGCAGCACCCCUCACUUCUCGGGGUAAGGCUCAGAGGGAUGGCAAACCUUCUCUGGUUCAUAUGUGGAUGUUGAUAGUUUGGGCAGAAAAUGCCCACUGUAGCUUUCUCCCACCAUGUUUAUGGCCUGAAGGAUGCUCCCCAACAAAGACAAGUAGAUUAGCUAAACCUGCCUCCUCAAUCCAGCAUUACACCAUACAGCCUGCCUCUUUGUUUACGGGUAUGUAAUAAGCCCACCUUUUUAUUCAACUGUAUAUAAUAAACAUGCCAAGCUGCUGCAGCUCCGGUCACCCAACCCCAGCUUUUCUGUGUGUCUGUGUAUGUGUGUUUGUCCUUUCCUCAUUCCCUCAAGUCCCCAGCCAGGUGGGUCCCUGGAAUGGCACCUGGGAGACCCCUUGUGCUACUGGGGCUGGAACGCAUUGGCCAUGAGUUCCACCAGCUGAGCCACUACCCAGUUUCUUUCAAGUAUCUGCUUAAAUUGUUCCUCUGGGAGAGGCCACUUUAUACUAACCAGUUACCUUUUUUUGUUCUUUUGUGUUAUGUAAGUUAGGUCAGCCUAGAAUUCGCAAAUGUAGCCCAGUCUGGCCUCAAACAUAGGAUCUUCUGGGUACAGCUCUUCUGAAUGUCGGGAUUACAGGCCUCUAUUGUCCCUGAACCUUAGGUGCUCUUUUCCUCUCAUGACAUUACUACCCAUUGUUAUGCUUGGUAAUUUACAUUUUCAAUACGUGCACUGAUUAGAAGUCCCAUGAAAGCAAGGACCUUAGUUUUGUUUACUGCUUUUAUCGAACCACGGACAGUAACCUCGCGGGAGUUUCUUGGACAAUGCCACUCACAAGUAAUGCCCACACGUUAUCAUCUGAUUCCUUCCUGAGGCCCAAAAACCUCUGCUUUUCUCCCCUCUUGGCUCUGGCCCUGGGGCUCACCCAGAAAAAGCAGCAGCAGAACCUUAAGGCCAGCAGGGCCCAUGCUUCUGUCCUCAUUGCAGUACUUCCGGCUUCCGGGACUCAGGCUCCUGUCGGAAGGCCGCUGAGAAGUAGCCGCGGAAGGGGCAGGACCAGCUGCUCCCGCUAGGUGGCGCUCUCAGCGUUUUCCCCUUCGCCUGGGCCGGACUGCAAGGGAUUUAAGCCGAGCGGCUGCGGGACUGUGCAGCGCCCCCUACUGUCUUGGGGGAGCCACUGUGGAGUUUUGUUGUUUCUUUUUGUUUUGUUUUUGCCGAAGGUGGGGGUAGAGGGUAUUGGGAAGGAUUAAGAUCUUGUCUGUCCAUAGCACAAAGUGGAAGUGGGCAGGAUUCGAGCAUUAGUCAAAAUACACACACACACACACACACACACACACACACAUAAAAGAGGAAAUUAACCCACUCUCUGAGUUAAAUCCGUUUGUUUUUACAAAUCAGGUUUUCUGGAAACUAAAGUCUUCGGCAAUGCUCUGUGUAUGGGACAUUUAUUGUAGUGUGGUCUCGGUGUUCACACCUGGGUUUGUGUGGAAAGCCAAUAAGGGAGUUAACCUAGGACAGCCCUUGAAGACGAGAACUGGGAGGACGUGGGUUUGUGGUAGCUUGAGAGCUUAUAAGCAGGAUUGUUGAGUGUCUCCACGCAGAUUCCUGGCAUUCUUACAUUAAAAUGGCUCAACUACAGUCCAUACCACCUGCCCAAGAGCUUCCUUUUAUUCAACUUAAAUUCCUAAGAGGCUUUAUUGGUGCAGAUGAUCUGUUCUUACCAGGAUGUAGGUUCUCCUGGCAGUGAAGUACCAACCCUCAUAUAAAAGGAGCUGGGAGGGGAUAUGGAAAUGUGUCAGAGUAGGCCAGCAGGUUUUUUAGUGAUAUUGCCCUCAGCCUGACUCCUCCCGUGCAUGUGGACGGGACAGAUUUUUUUUCUGUCCCCUGUCUUUGAGCUGAAAACAUUCACUCAGGGUUUGUACCAAUUGCUAUGAUUUUUAUCAUCUUAUAAUUUGUGACUUCCUGCUUUUCAUCUUAAUUUUUUUUUUUUUGAAGAAAAAAAAAACCACUUGUUUUAAUCACAAUCACCUUUGUGGUUAUUUCAAAUAAUUUCUGGUUUUCACAGACAGUUUUAACCGUGAAUGUGGCUUUUUAAAAGGUCAGGGAGCUGGGGAUAGCUGCAUAGCCGAGUGUUUACUUCACAUAUGAAGGGCCCCGGGUUCUACCCCAAGCACUGU
rnacentral:lncRNA from 1 species